GGACGGGUUUAAUAAGAUUAAAAAAAAAAGAAAAAUUCAAAUACCACCUUUGUGGUUUCAUUUUUUUUUAUUUUAGUAGCUCGUGGCUUAAAGUAUAUCAAUUUAGCACCCCGUAGAUUUAUUUUUCUCUUUUUAUUAUUCUUUCCACUAAUUUUUUUUCGUUAAAUCAGUGACAAAGUUAAAACUAAAAGGUACUAAAAUAAAAAUACGAUAAACUUAGAUGGGGUAUCCGAAGUUUUUUGUAUAUAAUUUAACGUAAUGUUAACAAAGGAGCUGACGAAAGGAAAAAAAUGAAACUAUGGGAACUAAAUUGAUACACUUUAAACUACAGGGUAUUGAAGUGAAAAAGUGCGAAACCAAUAUUUGAAGUUUUUAGUAUCUUUACCAAAUAC
rnacentral:lncRNA from 1 species